GGCUCUGUGCGCGGGAACCGUUAGGAGGGAUGUCCGUGUCCCUUGCCACACUCUUCUCUGUGCCCCCGGUGUCUCUUGGGGUUUUGGCCCAAUCCCAGGUCACCAGGCAAGACCCAGCUAGAGCUGGACCUGGUGGUGGUGGUGGAGAGUUUGCAGACGCGGGGACACCGAAAUAUCCCGUCCCCUCCCCCGCUGCCAAGGUCCCCAGAUACCACCCAGAGCCCGGCCAGGCAGAGGGUGACGGUCAGGGUGACCUGGAGGCCGGCAGCAGCCCCUGCAGAAGAGACGGCUAGGCAGCCUCCCGCUCUUCCUCUACGGACCCUCCCUCCUCCUUCCUGACAGGAUCCCAGAAGCCAAGGUGAGCAGGAGGCACCAGCACCAAGGUCCCAGCCCGGAAGGUGGGACUCAGGCCUCGGCUCUCACCCCUUCCUGUUCCUCCUUCUGCUCAUCAGAGGCCUCCAUCGGGUUGAAUGCCCCUGGGGCCAGGCAGAUCUCCAAAGGUCCACGCUCUUCAGGUGCCUUCACGUCCCCUGCUCCAAUCUCCCAAAACCCUCAAGAGGUUGAAUCCAAGACCCCACUUUCAUUCAAGGAGCCGAGGCUCUGACAAGAGACCAUAUUACCUUGUCUGAACAGGGCAAUUCGAGGCCCAGUGUUGGUUUGUUUCAAGGUCCAUUUAACCCCAAGUGCUGUGCACUGCCCCAGUGCCCAUAACAGUGCCCUCUGACCUCAUCCUUGAGAGGAUGGGUGGGUGACUGGGAGCAGCAAGGCAGCAGGGGGGCUUCUGUGGUGGGCAGGGACGUGGCCUGCUCCCUCGGUGAAGAAAACGCAUGUGAAGCUGGAUGGGAGUCAGCAGAGCAGACUGGAGAAGGCGUCCGGAGCACACUGCACAGGGCUGUGAAGGCUUGAAAAGGACUCAGGGCCCCUGCAGGUUGGCAGGACAUGAAGGUGUUGUUGGCUGAUGGAAGCAGAGGAUCUAGCUCCCAAGAGAGGGUUUGCUGCAUGGCAGGGCAGCCAUUAUGGUGCCACCAGGAGUCUCACCCCAGGUACCCUCCCAGGGUCAACACAGAAGUUGGAGUCUGGGGUCCCCAUCUGUCCCCAGGCCAUAAGCCUGAUGCUGAACAAGGAGCCAUGGAUGCAGUCUCCCUGGGCCCAGCCACCAGGGAGAGGGUGCCCCUGCCACCAUCCACCUGCUGCCCUGGC